rnacentral:lncRNA from 1 species
UUGGCAUCCUGAACACAGCAAAUUGUUGAUGAAUGUCAUUGCCUAACAAUCUCAGAGAUAUAGGAAACCAGAAGUUCUUCAAGCUUGAGUCCAUUGUUAUUUCUCCCAGUUUUCGCUUGGAUUGAGGUCAAAGCAAUUCACCUUUGUUAAUUAGACCCCUGUGUGCUUCAGCAUGGCAUCAUUAGGCCCAUAUAAUCGAUGUUCCUGAGAUUAUCACACAGAUACCUCAGAGGAGUAAGAAUUUGACAUAUUUUGAAUGCAAACGUGGUUAGUUGUUGAAACUGUCAUCUCCUUUUAUUUUUUUUCUUUUGAGGGUUUUAUAGUUUUAAGUUGUCAGUCUUGAUACCACACUCAUAACCCCAGUAAUUCAAAGUACAUUCUGGUGAAUGACUGAAAUUUAUUGCUGUGGUGGCACUUAAUCUGGCACCAUUGAGAAGUCAACUGUAGAGCUGUAAAUUUUAGAUUUUAUAAUGAAAUUUUGAUUAAACUGGGCUUUUUUUCUAGUGAUGGUUCUCUGUUAUCUAGUGUAGUAUUUACAAAAUAAAUGAUGCGGAGCCCACCACAAAUUCUGUGUAGUCAUUAGCGACUUUAUAUUUAACAGUAAUGAUUGCAUUACUCUGAUGUAUUGAAUUUAUAUUUUCAGGCACCCUAAAAAAACUAAUAAUUUAGCGCUGUUUGAAAAAAAUUGUUGACUGCCUACCCCCAUCAGUUGUUUUUGUCUGCAUCUAGAGAAUGCCAUGUAUGUGGACGAAAAGGAACAAAUUCUACCAACCAUCAGAGCCUUCUAUCAGGAGAGAAAAUCAGGCAACCCAUAUAUUUCUUGUCAAGCCUGACUCAAGAUUCUCUUCCUUCAAGAAGGAUUCCUGAUCUCACUCCACCUGAAGUGGAUGCCUCUUCUUUAGUGUGCAUCAGAAUCCCCUGGAAAAGUGAAAACAGAGUCUUGGGCCCCUCCCCCAGCACUUCUGAUUUGCUCAACCUGCCAGCUCCUGCCCACCCAGGCUCAGCAUAGGCUGAAUGAAGCAAGAUCCCCUGCUUUCUGCAGCUUUUGUUGGCCUCCUUGUCCUUUGAUACCGGUAAGAUGAUUAGAGCUGCCUUAUUCCAGGAGGACUCUUUGCUUCUCUCUGACUUCCUACCUCUCCCACCUUCUCAGAGCAUUUAAAUAGAUCACAGGCAGAAGUUAAUUGGAGAUAAAAGUUUACAGUUAAGCAAGCAGGUUGUAGCACAAUAUCCAUAUAAUCUAAAGUAACUGGGGCUUCUCAGGGUCAUUGAAAUGUGCAAAGGUAUUCUUCCAAAGCAUUUUUAAAACCUAGAUAAAUUGUGUGUCAUAUAAAAUGCAUUAUAAAAUGUUCCAAUUGAGUCGUUGGAUUAAAUGAACCUUUCAAUACCUUUCAGAGGAAAAGAGAUGGUAUUUGGUGUGAUGAAAUAGUCAAUGCUUGACUUCAUACUUAGAUGGUGCAGCGAUCUUCAGGGAAGACUUUACUCAAAAUGAAAAAUAAAAAGAAAUAAACCAAUAAUCUCCUGACUCCA